AGGACGAACGCUGGCGGCGUGCUUAACACAUGCAAGUCGAACGGUGAAGGCCCUUCGGGGUGGAUCAGUGGCGAACGGGUGAGUAACACGUGGGCAAUCUGCCCUGCAUUCUGGGACAAGCCUUGGAAACGAGGUCUAAUACCGGAUACGACGCAUCUCCGCAUGGAGUGUGCGUGGAAAGCUCCGGCGAUGCAGGAUGAGCCCGCGGCCUAUCAGCUUGUUGGUGGGGUAAUGGCCUACCAAGGCGACGACGGGUA
rnacentral:rRNA from 1 species